rnacentral:rRNA from 1 species
UACGAGGGGUGCAAACGUUAUUCGGAAUCAUUGGGCGUAAAGGGUGCGUAGACUGCGAAUCAAGUCAGUUGUUAAAUCUUCUAGCUCAACUAGAAGCCUGUAACUGAAACUGGUUUGCUUGAGGGUGGAAGAGAGAAGCGGAAUUCUCGGAGUAGCGGUAAAAUGCGUAGAUCUCGAGAGGAACACCGAUGGCGAAGGCAGCUUCUUGGUCCAUUUCUGACGUUGAGGCACGAAAGCGUGGGGAGCAAACAGG